rnacentral:lncRNA from 1 species
GUAGGAUGAAAUUUGAAAAAAAUAGGCAGGACAGGAGUUUUGAGUAAAAAAAAAAGUCAGGAUGAGACGAGGCCUCAUGAGACUCGUGCAAAAAAAAAAGGCAGGACAACAAUUUAGGUAAAAAAAAGUCCGGAUAAACUAAAAAAAAAAAAAAAAAGGCAGGACCGAACAGAGUGAAAAAUAAAAAGGCAGGACAGAGAUUACAGCUAAAAAAAAAUGCAGGACAAAAUUUUUCAUUCUAGCCCCCCA